GGGAAAUAUGGAAGGCAUCUAUGAUCCAUGUUGCCGUGGAAGGUGGCUGCUUUGUUCUUUCUGCAAACCAAUUUAGCCGAGGGAGAGACAGUCCACUACCACUGGGAAAUUCAGAUAGUGAUACAGCACUAGAUGAAAUAACAAGUGCUGGGGGUAGUUUAAUUGUUUCGCCGUCAGGGACCAUCUUGGCAGGACCUAAUUACCAAGGAGAGUGUCUUAUCUCAGCUGAUAUGGACCUCGAAGAGAUCGCUCGAGCAAAGACAGAAUUUGGCGGAGUUAGGUCCU
rnacentral:misc_RNA from 1 species